UCACCUCUGCAGGCUGGCCGGCCCUCAGGCUGGGCUGGGCGAGUAUCUCCUCCAAAGGCUCACGCGCAAGCCCGACUAGGAGC
rnacentral:pre_miRNA from 1 species